UCCGGAGUAGCUCAAUGGUAGAGCGGGUGGCUGUUAACCACUAGGUUGGGGGUUCGAGUCCCUCCUCCGGAGCUA
rnacentral:tRNA from 1 species